rnacentral:tRNA from 1 species
GUCCCCGUAGCUCAGUUGGAUAGAGCGUCGCCCUGCGGAGGCGAAGGUCGUGCGUUCGAAUCGCGCCGGGGACGCCA